AAACAAAUCCACCAACUGUUUCUUGAGACGAUCAAUCUCCGUUAACUCCUUAGGCUUGUCCUCCUCAACCAGCCCAACCGUAGAGGCAGAACCAGAGCCAUCCUCAUCUGGACCCCAUUCGUCGUCAUCUUCCACGGCCCGAACCAAGAAGAGGGGCCUUAGCUUGAUAGGAUAUGUGGUGAGAAGUCUUGAUUUGGAGGUUGAGUUGGCGGUGUUGAUUGAGCAAAAAAGAGGAAUUGAGGGUGUGGAAGUGGAUUGAGAGUUAGGAGUUGGACGAGGCGUAGAGCUAGAGAGAGUGUUGCACGGAAAUCGAUU
rnacentral:misc_RNA from 1 species